GAUGAACGCUAGCUACAGGCUUAACACAUGCAAGUCGAGGGGAAACGGCAUUUAGUGCUUGCACCGAAUGGACGUCGACCGGCGCACGGGUGAGUAACGCGUAUCCAACCUUCCCAUAACUAAGGAAUAACCUGCCGAAAGGCAGACUAAUACCUUAUGUAAUCCUUUGAUGGCAUCAGAUUAGGAUAAAAGAUUUAUCGGUUAUGGAUGGGGAUGCGUCUGAUUAGCUUGUUGGCGGGGUAACGGCCCACCAAGGCAACGAUCAGUAGGGGUUCUGAGAGGAAGGUCCCCCACAUUGGAACUGAGACACGGUCCAAACUCCUACGGGAGGCAGCAGUGAGGAAUAUUGGUCAAUGGACGGAAGUCUGAACCAGCCAAGUAGCGUGCAGGAAGACGGCCCUAUGGGUUGUAAACUGCUUUUGUAUGGGGAUAAAGUCAAUCACGUGUGAUUGUUUGCAGGUACCAUACGAAUAAGGACCGGCUAAUUCCGUGCCAGCAGCCGCGGUAAUACGGAAGGUUCGGGCGUUAUCCGGAUUUAUUGGGUUUAAGGGAGCGUAGGCCGGAGAUUAAGUGUGUUGUGAAAUGUAGACGCUCAACGUCUGACUUGCAGCGCAUACUGGUUUCCUUGAGUACGCACAACGUUGGCGGAAUUCGUCGUGUAGCGGUGAAAUGCUUAGAUAUGACGAAGAACUCCGAUUGCGAAGGCAGCUGACGGGAGCGCAACUGACGCUGAAGCUCGAAGGUGCGGGUAUCGAACAGG
rnacentral:rRNA from 1 species